UGAACGCUGGCGAGAUGCCUUACACAUGCAAGUCGUACGGGGAUUUUUAAUUCAAGUGGCGGACGGGUGAGUAACACGUAAGAAUUUGCCUUUAGGAGGGGGACAACAACUGGAAACGGUUGCUAAUACCCCAUAUGCUUUCGAGUGAAAUGGAUUUUUCCGCCUAAAGAAAAGCUUGCGGCUGAUUAGCUUGUUGGUGAGGUAAUGGCUCGCCAAGGCGACGAUCAGUAUCUGGUUUGAGAGGAUGAUCAGACACACUGGAACUGAGACACGGUCCAGACUCCUACGGGAGGCAGCAGUGGGGAAUUUUCCGCAAUGGGCGAAAGCCUGACGGAGCAAUCUCGCGUGAGGGAUGACGGCCUAUGGGGUUGUAAACCUCUUUUUUUCAGGGAGGAACAAAAUGACGUGUACCUGAAGAAUAAGCAUCGGCUAACUCCGUGCCAGCAG
rnacentral:rRNA from 1 species